AAAGUGAAUAGUGAAACCUGGUGGCUCAACCAUACAGACUAUUAUUCAAACUCACUGACUCGAGAGUAGCAGAGGUAACUGGAAUUUCUUGUGUAGGAGUGAAAUCCGUAGAUAUAAGAAGGAACACCAAUGGCGUAGGCAGGUUACUGGGCUAUUUCUGACACUGAGGCACGAAAGCGUGGGGAGCGAACCGGAUUAGAUACCCGGGUAGUCCACGCCGUAAACUAUGGAUACUA
rnacentral:rRNA from 1 species